UGAUUUUUAUGAUUAAUAUGAUUAUCCUGAUGAGCGAAGAUUUCAGGGAAGAUGUUUGCGUAUAUCUUCGCUCAUCAGGAUAAUCAUAUUAAUCAUAA
rnacentral:miRNA from 1 species